CGAACGAACUCUGGUAUUGAUUGGUGCUUGCAUCAUGAUUUACAUUUGAGUGAGUGGCGAACUGGUGAGUAACACGUGGGAAACCUGCCCAGAAGCGGGGGAUAACACCUGGAAACAGAUGCUAAUACCGCAUAACAACUUGGACCGCAUGGUCCGAGUUUGAAAGAUGGCUUCGGCUAUCACUUUUGGAUGGUCCCGCGGCGUAUUAGCUAGAUGGUGGGGUAACGGCUCACCAUGGCAAUGAUACGUAGCCGACCUGAGAGGGUAAUCGGCCACAUUGGGACUGAGACACGGCCCAAACUCCUACGGGAGGCAGCAGUAGGGAAUCUUCCACAAUGGACGAAAGUCUGAUGGAGCAACGCCGCGUGAGUGAAGAAGGGUUUCGGCUCGUAAAACUCUGUUGUUAAAGAAGAACAUAUCUGAGAGUAACUGUUCAGGUAUUGACGGUAUUUAACCAGAAAGCCACGGCUAACUACGUGCCAGCAGCCGCGGUAAUACGUAGGUGGCAAGCGUUGUCCGGAUUUAUUGGGCGUAAAGCGAGCGCAGGCGGUUUUUUAAGUCUGAUGUGAAAGCCUUCGGCUCAACCGAAGAAGUGCAUCGGAAACUGGGAAACUUGAGUGCAGAAGAGGACAGUGGAACUCCAUGUGUAGCGGUGAAAUGCGUAGAUAUAUGGAAGAACACCAGUGGCGAAGGCGGCUGUCUGGUCUGUAACUGACGCUGAGGCUCGAAAGUAUGGGUAGCAAACAGGAUUAGAUACCCUGGUAGUCCAUACCGUAAACGAUGAAUGCUA
rnacentral:rRNA from 2 species